AUGCUCAAUAUCUCACAUUCGAUUCCUUUCAAUGAUGAAACAGAGGAUGGAAAAAGCAAUGGACUCAAAGUAAUCUCACUGGACCGCAGUAAAGCUGCCACUGGUAAUUUUAGUGAAUCCAACAAGAUCGGAGAAGGUGGAUUUGGUCCGGUUUACCUGCUGUUGCGUGCGAAGAAAGGGGCUGUCGCUGCUGCUCCCCUUGUCCAGAUCGACGAGCACCAUGGAGGGGCCCCCUGUAGCCGAGCUUCACUGGAAGCCAUGGGUGGGGAAGGGGAGGCGCCCUCGGGUUGA
rnacentral:rRNA from 1 species